rnacentral:rRNA from 1 species
UACCCGCAGCACAAGUGGUGGUCAUUAUUAUUGGGCCUAAAGCGUCCGUAGCUGGCGUGUUAGAUGCCUGGGUAAAUCGAAGCGCUCAACGUUUCGAAUUCCGGGUAGACCGGCACGCUCGAGACCGGGAGAGGUGUAGGGUACUCGGGGGGUGAGGGGUAAAAUCCUGUAAUCCUCCGGGGACGACCAGUGGCGAAGGCGCUACACUAGAACGGCUCUGACAGUGAGGGACGAAGCCCUGGGGCGCAAACCGG